ACCUUUGAAAAGGCCUACUGCAAAAA
rnacentral:piRNA from 1 species